rnacentral:rRNA from 1 species
UACAGAGGGGGCAAGCGUUGUUCGGAAUUACUGGGCGUAAAGCGCGCGCAGGCGGUCUUCCAAGUCAGUGGUGAAAGCCUGGAGCUCAACUCCAGAACUGCCAUUGAAACUGUAGAACUUGAGGAUGAGAGAGGUGAGUGGAAUUCCCAGUGUAGAGGUGAAAUUCGUAGAUAUUGGGAAGAACACCGGUGGCGAAGGCGGCUCACUGGCUCAUUUCUGACGCUCAGGCGCGACAGCGUGGGGAUCAAACAGG